GUCAGUGUAGUUUAGUGGCCAGAACCCGCGACUCAUAAUCGCGUGAUCGGGAGUUCGAAUCUCCCCACUGACA
rnacentral:tRNA from 1 species